GCCUCGGUAUCCCAAGUUGCUGAGUACCUGAGACUAAAGGAUGUGGAAGCUGGAGAGUCACUUCUUUUGAUAAUUCAAGGAUCUUGGGAUACUUCAGAGAACAAUUCUCAAACAACAACUUCAAACUGACAGACAGACUUCAAGGAACUAUGCAGGAUAGAUGGGUGGCCAAAUGACAAGCUUGGAAAGCUACAAGGGAGUGCUACCUGCUCCUCUCCGUCCAUUCUUUGCUCUCUACUCUGAACUCCAUGUCUUCCACCAAGGUUCACUUCACCACUGUGUCAU
rnacentral:lncRNA from 1 species